rnacentral:tRNA from 1 species
AAGACUUUAGUAAAAUAUAAUUAUACUGCUUUGUCAAGGCAGAGUCGUGGGUUAAAACCCCACACGUCUUG